AUGGGAGUUAGAUCUGCACACCCACUGCAGUUUAUGAUUUUUUAAAAAUUUUUGUAUUUUUUUAUGGGAUGGUGCAAUAGAAAGAGACAUCCUAAAUCUUAAGUUACAUGCCCAUUUUCACAUAACACCAAAGGGUAACUCAAGCACCCCAAUUUGUCAGCUCCUGCCCACCUGUGUGUCGACGGGCGGCUCCUCCGACUGCAGCCGUGUGCUCUGAAGGGAUGUUGGUAGGUGCAGGGAAGUCAAGGAAGACACUGAAAACACCUUGGACCACAGCUGGAUGCUGCAACACUUGUAAAGCUCAGUUACUGGGCUACUUAAAUCCAGCCAAAAAAAAGUUCCUCAGUUUCACCAGCAGAGGGGGCUGCUAUUUGAUACACAGGAUGUCAUACAGGAUGGUCAUCUCCUCAAACUCGGAGCGUGGGUUGAAGUAUGGCCGAGGAGGCGUGGUGACGGGGGACAGGCUGCCCAGCAGCAGCUCCUCCCAGCCUCGCCGCGCCCUCCGAGCAGGUUUUGUGGCCA